UACGGAGGGUGCAAGCGUUAUCCGGAAUUAUUGGGCGUAAAGAGCUCGUAGGCGGUCUGUCGCGUCGGUCGUGAAAACUUGGGGCUUAACCCUGAGCUUGCGGUCGAUACGGGCAUGACUGGAGUUCGGCAGGGGAGACUGGAAUUCCUGGUGUAGCGGUGAAAUGCGCAGAUAUCAGGAGGAACACCGGUGGCGAAGGCGGAUCUCUGGGCCAUUACUGACGCUGAGGAGCGAAAGCGUGGGGAGCAAACAGG
rnacentral:rRNA from 1 species